rnacentral:rRNA from 1 species
AGUCGUUUGCUUCACUAGAGGAUCGGGGUGCGUAACAUUAGCUAGUUGGUAAGGUAAUGGCUUACCAAGGCGAUGAUGUUUAGCGGGGUUGAGAGACUGAUCCGCCACACUGGGACUGAGAUACGGCCCAGACUCCUACGGGAGGCAGCAGUAGGGAAUUUUCCACAAUGGACGAAAGUCUGAUGGAGCGACACAGCGUGCAGGAUGAAGGCCUUCGGGUUGUAAACUGCUGUUAUAAGGGAAGAAAAAACAGAGGAGGAAAUGCCAUUGUCUUGACGGUACCUUGUCAGAAAGCAACGGCUAACUAUGUGCCAGCAGCCGCGGUAAUACAUAGGUUGCAAGCGUUAUCCGGAAUUAUUGGGCGUAAAGCGUCUGUAGGUUGUGUGUUAAGUCUGACGUAAAAACUUGGGGCUCAACCCCAAAUAGCGUUGGAUACUGGCACGCUAGAAUUGUGUAGAGGUUAGCGGAAUUCCUAGUGAAGCGGUGAAAUGCGUAGAUAUUAGGAAGAACAUCAACAUGGCGAAGGCAGCUAACUGGGCACAUAUUGACACUGAGAGACGAAAGCGUGGGGAGCAAACAGGAUUAGAUACCCUGGUAGUCCACGCCGUAAACGAUGAUGAUUAGCUGAUGGGAACCAUCGGCGCAGCUAACGCAUUAAAUCAUCCGCCUGAGUAGUAUGCACGCAGUGUGAAACUUAAGGAAUUGACGGGAUCCGCACAAGCGGUGGAGCAUGUGGUUUAUUUGAGAUACGCGUAGAACCUUACCCUCUGACAUCUUCYGCAAGCUAUAAGAUAUAGUGGAGGUUACAGAGUGACAGAUGGUGCACA